UCCGCCUUCGGGCGGCAGUCUCGCAUGAGUCCCCAACUGAAUGCUGGCAACAUGCGACAAGGGUUGCGCUCGUUAUCUGACUUAACAGAACAUCUCACGACACGAGCUGACGACAGCCAUGCACCACCUGUGACGGUCCAGCCGAACUGACCCCUUGUUUCCAAGGGUGCGACCGACAUGUCAAGCCCAGGUAAGGUUCUUCGCGUUGCGUCGAAUUAAACCACAUGCUCCACUGCUUGUGCGCCUCCCCGUCAAUUCCUUUGAGUUUUAGCCUUGCGGCCGUACUCCCCAGGCGGGGUGCUUAACGCGUUAGCUGUCUCACGGCAAGAGUCGAGCCUCACCACGAGUAGCACCCAUCGUUUACGGCGUGGACUAC
rnacentral:misc_RNA from 1 species